AGUCUUUCUCUCCUUAUCCCCCGAGCAUUUCGGUCCCUCGUGAUUCGACUUCUCUUUCUGUAGUUUUAGUAUAGUAAGGUGAGCGCUGAAGCGCUGCACGAAUCUUUCUUAGAAAGAUUCAGCGACGAAGUUCUGCCCCUACAGAGCCCGACUCCUAGCUAAAAUCCCCUUGUUUCGUCGAAGGAAAUUAUUUUAAAGUAAACGAAGCGUUGUCCGAGUACCGAGUCACCACCUUCUCAAGUGUUGAUAUGAAGUGACAUUACACUGAGAGAUUUAAAGAGAUGUAGAUCACUAGUGUAAAUAAUUGUAAGUUCUGUUUAUGCUUAUGUUUCUGUAUUAACGAUGACAUCCCAAACGUUUAAAAAUGAAAUAAAUACGUUUCUUCGAAAAUGUUUUAAUAACGUAUUUACCAUGUUUUUCUGGGAACAAAUUCCGCAACAUUUUUAUAAAAUGAAGUACUCUGAUUUUUAUAAAGCAUAAACAACAUCGGUCUUUUCUGGCCGUGAAAAUGGGGAUGUCACAAUUUGGUUCAUGAUUAUUUGCAAUGUUAUUCCAAAUAGAUUUGAAUUUUAUUUGUUUAGAUUAGGGUUUUUCAAUUUUAGGUAUUUGGGUGCGAAAUUAUUUUGGGUGCGAAACUAAUAUUUUUUUCCUUUGGUUAUUUUCAUUUUUUUCCUUAUGCCCUAGCUUUGGUUUAAAUAACCACAAACCCUUAAAACAAAAUUGGAAAAGAUGUACGGAUGUCGAUAGUACGUGACACACUCAUUGUAGGGCAUCGUCCUCUGUGAUUGAUGUCAACGAAACCCUAACUUGCCCCAUAAGUUCGCUUACUUGUCAUGCAAGAAACAAAUCUGAUGUAUUUCGAAUUUUAGAUAUUCCCUUUAGAUUUAAAUGUCAUUUAAAUAGUGGUUUAAAUUUGAACAUUAAUUUGUUUUAAAUAUUAUUUAUAGUUUUCUAACGUCCUAAAAAUACUAAGAAAAUUUUCAUUUUUAAUUAAACCAAACCGAUAAACCAUUUGUCCUAAAAGAUAGUAAUAACAAUAAUAUUCUCAAAACAUCAUAGUAAAACAAGUCAGUGCAGAAAAUAAAAUUGUGGAGGAUGUAGUGUGAUCAAGUCGGGCUGCCAAAACCAUAAGUACCUGAAAAACAUUUUAAACAUAAACAAUAAGCACAAAGCUUACUGAGUUCCCCCAAAAUACCAUACACCAUCCAUAUCAAACAUACAAUAGGCCAUGCCAGAUAGCCAUCGGGCCCCGCCCGACAUCGAGCCCCAUUCAGAACAGAUAUGUUUGUAUCUUGUGAUGGGCCCUGCCAUCACACCCAUCAGGUCCCGUCCGACAUACAUAGAAUACAUAUACAUGUGCUAGGUUACACAGACAACUGUCAUACACAUAACCAUAAUCCAUGGGUCGGCAUUGGUGCCUUCGACCUGCUAAGCACUGGGAGGAAAUGCACCUUAAUCUAUUAUAACCAAAUAACCGCUAGGUUCGUUGAAUCGGAUAAUCUCGCACUAACUAACAAUAAAUACAACCCUAACGAACGAAUCAAAUGUUCCAAAAAUGGGCAAAAGACCAUUUUGCCCCAAAUAAGUCCCAAGCCAAUUCACAAUUGGCCUAAAGUCAACAGGUUAACAAAAGUCAACGGGAGUCAAAUGACUGAGUACACCCGACGUACUCAAUGUAUGCCCAACGUACACCACCUUUGGCUAGUACGCAUUGUGUAUAGGCUGGGUACGCCCAUCGUACUCCACAACAACCUAAUCUCGCUAUUAAGUGCUUAAAUGGUCAAGUCACUAUGUUAAUUUCUCAUAUCUGAUCCUAAAUAAUGUCUUAACAUGUAAAGUUGGCAACUUUACUCCUUUGCAUGUCUUAAUGGGACCCAAUACUUGUUUUUAUCCAUCUAUAUCCAUAAUAUGAACACCAACUCUUGCAUGGUUCAUCAAAAUCCCUUAAUAUGACAUUUUUAUGACUUAGUGACCUCAAGAAAGACCAAAUAUAAGGCUCAAAGGUUCUUGAGUAACUUCUACUCAUAAGAACCACAACCAUGGGACCAAAAUAUGACAAAUCAUAACCCAAACCAGAUCUUUAAGAGAAAUCCAUCAAGAUCAAAACUUUAUACCUCUAGAAGAUAGAUAAAUGUGAACAAAUUCUGGAUCUACAAGCUCUAUGGCAACCAACACUUCUCCAAAGAGCUCCUUCUUCUCCAAGAUGCACCAAGAAUACUUCAAAGCACCCAAAAACUCAAGGAUUUCACAAAUGGAGGCUAAGGUUUCGUAUUUAGGGUUAGAGAGGAUGGAGGCCAAAGAUAAGUAGGGUUUCCAAGAAGUUAAGGUGUUUAAAUAGAGUCCAAGACCCAAAACUAGGGUUUUGGUCUGUUUGGCAUACUCCCAGCGUACGUGGGUUGUCCAUCGCGAUCAUCUGAGCCUCGUACGCUCAACUUACUCGCUGUAUGCCCAACGUACUCGACUUAACCCAAAAUUCUUGUAACUUUAAACGGUCAUAACUUCUUCGUCCCAACUCCGAUUUCGAUGUUCUUUAUAUCCACAAAAAGGUGAUGAGAAACUCUAAACGAUAAGCAAACUUGCCCACUCGGGCAACAACAUUGAAAGGACUGAUAUAUCUGGGGCCCAACUUGCUCCGCUUCAUGAACCGGAUGACACCUUUCCAAGGUGACACCUUCCGGAGUACCAUAUCCCCAACCUGAAAUUCCAAAUUCGACCAACAUCUAUUUGCGUAACUCUUCUGUUGGCCCUGUACGUUCUGUAAUAUCUUGUGCACCUGCUGGAUCAAGUAGGGUGCGCACGCCUACCAGAAGCAUGAUGUGUUUUGCAAUUAAACAAGUUUCCUCAUUUUUUUUUCAGUUUUAAUUUUAGUGCUCACAACUAAAACCUAAUGGCUAUGAUACCACUGAUAAGUUUUCUAUGCAUCUUCACACCAGAUUUAGGCAAAAAAAGCAUUUAAAUAUAACCCUUGGUAUACAUGCAUCCUAGGAUCUAGGUUUUACUAUUAUAGCAACAUACUUUCAAAACAUGAAUAUAAACUAAUCAAAAGGGAUAAGAAUACCAACCUUUAGGACAAAAUCGUAUUUUCCCUUGAAUACUUAUAGAUCUUAAACUCAGUUGUUGCUCUUAAAAGAACUAUCAUCCAAAGUAGGAAUACCUCUAAUGGCUCGCACUCAAAAGACUAAAAUCCUAGAAUAUUUAGGAGAAAGGAGAGAAAACUAUGAGAACAAAAUUCUCACUUUAGGAAAGUUUAUGAACGAAAUUCUCAAGGUCGGGGAGGUCUUUAUAUAGUUGAGAUAAUUUGAAGAUUAAGAAAAUUUAAAUCAAUUAAAUAAUCAGAUUUAAAUCAUUUCCUUAUAUGUUAUUUCGAACAAUUCUGGAAGGCUUCUAGAGCUUCCAACACCGUCCACCUCCUUUAGGGUUUCUAGAAUGCUCAUUUUGCUCACUAUUGAUCAAUUAACAUUCAAGUUACGAUUAAUUCUAAUUAGUUCUUAAUCACUUUUAUUUAGGAGAAAGGAGAGAAAACUAUGAGAACAAAAUUCUCACUUUAGGAAAGUUUAUGAACGAAAUUCUCAAGGUCGGGGAGGUCUUUAUAUAGUUGAGAUAACUUGAAGAUUAAGAAAUUUAAAUCAAUUAAAUAAUCAGAUUUAAUUCAGAUUCAAAUCAUUUCCUUAUAUGUUAUUUCGAACAAUUCUGGAAGGCUUCUAUAGCUUCUAACACCGUCCACCCCUUUAGGGUUUAUAGAAUGCUCAUUUUGCUCACUAUUGAUCAGUUAACAUUCAGGCUAUGAUUAAUUCUAAUUUGUUCUUAAUCACUUCUAAUUAGUUUCUAAUUGAUUUAUUAACAUGUAAUAAAUUAAUAAACUAUUUUCCUCACUCUCUAAAAUUCUUUCUUGCUAUUUUAGUUAUUGAGGGCAACUCAAAAAGGACUUUAUUAUUAUUCCCAAAUUCAUAAAAUUAGAUUUCAAGUUCAUAAAAUCCUAUAAACAACUAUCAUGGUAAUCUACAAUUGUAAUCUAUAUUUGAAUAUUUCGAGUUCGUAAAAUCAUACAAAGGCAUAUGAAAAUUUCGAGAUCAUCUAAAUCCGAAAAAGAAGAUACCGGGUAGAAGUUGCUUCGAUGAACAACGAUGGAGGCAGAAGGGAUUCCAACGAUGACAACAUUGAUUUUGGUGGAUGACAAUAGCAGAGGUGUUGUCGGGGGAUAACAACAACAACAGAGGCGAUGUCGGCGGCGGAACAUGCAGAGGAAGGCGGACAAGCAAUAUGGAGAAGAAGAUGGACGUGUAUGGGAAGGAGAGCAGUUCUCCUGAUAAACAAGGAGGCCGGUAAAAGAGGCGUGACCUAAACUUUAUGAUUUCAUAUUUUUCCUUUUUUUGUUUAGUAGAGGUCUUCAAAAAAAGGUUUUCCUGCUCGAAGACAUUGAUCUAGGUCUUUUGGCGCGUAGACUUUGUGAGGUCUUCUAAAAAAACAAACACACUUCAAGACUUCGAAGACGUAGACGUCUUUCCGCUUGCAUACAAAAGUGCUAAAAAAGAGUUUUUUUUUUCCAAAAAACAAACAACACCUUAGUCUCGAUAGUCUUUAUAUUGAUAAUGUAACUUUGAAAGCGAGAAUGACUCCACUAAAUGGAGUAUGUGUGUUCCAAAAAACAAUAACAAAUUGGGUCUAAAGAGUAAUACUUAAUCCAAAAUACCAACCAUAUCAAUUUUGGUUAAUAGUAGGAUUUAUUUGGGGUCUGUUUUUUGUCCAUGUUUCUCGACGCAUACUGAAGAUGUUUAUUAUUUGUUCCUUACUAACAAGUUGGCGAAAUAAUAUUGGUCCCGUAGAGGUCAUUGGUGAGAUCUUGUGAUUUGAGUGCUUCUGUUACACACUUACACACAUAUGUAGGUGAGUUGAUUCCCUAAGUUUACCUAGUAUGAAACAAUUGAUGUUGUGAUGAAUACCAUAUGAAUACUUCAGAUUUAUUGUAAUGAUGAAACAGUUGAUGUUGGAUGAUGUUUUUGAUGACUACCAUACGAGUAUAUUGGAGUUAUCGUCAGAGUUGGCCCAAGCCCAGGGCGAGCUGGGCCAUGGCCCAGGACAACAAUUUAUAAUGGGGCAGCAAUUUUUCAAAGUCUCUUAUAGGUAUUAUGGUAUAUUUGGGCCAUGAAGACUAGUCCAGCAAAAUCCAUCCAAUUCAAGACUUAAGAGGGCAGCGGAUUCUUAGAGACCUAAUACACGGUAUCCGACUCUUCGAUCUAAACUUCUAGUAAUUAAAGAUGAAGAACACGAGGCGUCCUUUCUUGAGAAUGGAGAUGGACAUGGACGAUUACAGUUUAAAAUUAAUAUUUAGUCUAUCACCAUCGCAUUCGCAUACUGCCCUGUCUCUCUCUCUCUCUCUCUCUCUCUCUCUCUCUCUCUCUCGCCAUCGUCUACUUCUUCUUUCUUUCUUUCCUGAAUCGUUCUCUAUUCAAAGGUGGAUACAACUAUUGAUGAAUUCGUCCUCAUAAAGUCCUCACUCCUAAUCAAUCAAGUAAAGUUUUUUUCUAAUAUUUCAAAUUUCUUGCAUAACCUACU